rnacentral:lncRNA from 1 species
AGUGGUCAGAGAAGAUCCUGGGCAGAAACCUGAAUGGAUUGAAGGACAGAAGAGCCUGGGGAAGGAAGAUCCAGGGAAGUGUGACCCUCCAGAAGGCCUCUGAGGGCAAAUACACAGAGGUGGAACAUACUGGAAAUGCUCAGAGCAACCAGACCAAUCCCUUGGGGAAGAGCUGCAGAUAUGAGGGAAGACAGCAAGACCUGCAUGAUGUGUGUUUUCAGUUGCUGGGAAACAGAGAGACCCACUGGAGUCCCACAGGCUGGAUGGUUUUGUUUUUUCACCCAGGGUAAAAUCUUAACUAGUUGCUACUAUUUAUGUAUUAGGAGGUUUCCUGAAAAAAAUCAAAAUUUCUGAAUUUUUUUGAAAAAUCAGAAAACAUGGCCACCCAGCCCUGUAUUCCUACAUGGUGGCAGCAGUGGGAGCAGACCUGUUGCUGUGCCCUUGUGGAUCUGUGCUCUCUAGUUCGCCAUGGUCCCUGCCCCUCUGUAUUAUCUCCGGGAUGCAAUAGCCUGGUGUCACCUGCAGUUGGCCACCAUGCUUGAGCUGUUGUGUUUUGAAUAUGUGGCCCACUUCCCUCAUUCGUGUGAACUGCCUUGUCCACAGAGACAUACUCUUGUGAUUCUGACUCUAGAAUGUCUCCUUUAAAAAGUGUUUUAGGACAUAAAGAUAUAUACAUGCUCUAAUCCAUUACUACCCAAUUAGCUAUUGUUGUGGAACCCUGAGUCAUUUUUC